rnacentral:rRNA from 1 species
GGUGAGGUGUUACUUUAGGAGAGGCCUACGUUGGAUUAGCUUGUUGGUGGGGUAAAGGCUCACCAAGGCAAUGAUCCAUAGCUGUUCUGAGAGGAAGAUCAGCCACACUGGGACUGAGACACGGCCCAGACUCCUACGGGAGGCAGCAGUGGGGAAUAUUGGACAAUGGGGGAAACCCUGAUCCAGCGAUGCCGCGUGUGUGAAGAAGGCCUGCGGGUUGUAAAGCACUUUUAAUGGGGAGGAAUAGUUCCAUGUUAAUAGCGUGGAGCAGUGACGUUACCCAUAGAAUAAGCACCGGCAAACUCUGUGCCAGCAGCCGCGGUAAUACAGAGGGUGCGAGCGUUAAUCGGAAUGACUGGGCGUAAAGGGCACGUAGGCGGUUAGACAAGUUAGAUGUGAAAUAUCAGGGCUUAACCUUGGUGCUGCAUCUAAAACUGUUUGACUAGAGUUCACUAGAGGGAAGUGGAAUUUCCGGUGUAGCGGUGAAAUGCGUAGAUAUCGGAAGGAACAUCAGUGGCGAAGGCGGCUUUCUGGAGUUGAACUGACGCUAAGGUGCGAAAGCGUGGGGAGCAAACGGGAUUAGAUACCCCGGUAGUCCACGCUGUAAACGAUGAGUACUAGCUGUUGGAAUGCGACGACAUUUUAGUAGCGUAGUUAACGUGAUAAGUACUCCGCCUGGGGAUUACGGCCGCAAGGCUAAAACUCAAAGGAAUUGACGGGGGCCCGCACAAGCGGUGGAACAUGUGGUUUAAUUCGAUGCAACGCGAAGAACCUUACCUACUCUUGACAUCUAUGGAACAUCUGAGAAAUCAGCUGGUGCUGGAAACAGAACCAUAAGACAGGUGCUGCAUGGCUGUCGUCAGCUCGUGUCGUGAGAUGUUGGGUUAAGUCCCGUAACGAGCGCAACCCUUGUCCUUAGUUGCCAGCACAUUAUGGUGGGGACUCUAAGGAGACUGCCGGUGAUAAGCCGGAGGAAGGUGGGGAUGAUGUCAAGUCAUCAUGGCCUUUAUGAGUAGGGCUACACACGUGUUACAAUGGACAGUACAGAGGGAGGCUAGGCCGUGAGGUGGAGCGGAACUCAGAAAACUGUUCGUAGUCCGGAUUGAAGUCUGCAAUUCGACUUCAUGAAGUUGGAAUCGCUAGUAAUCGCGAAUCAGAACGUCGCGGUGAAUACGUUCCCGGGCCUUGUACACACCGCCCGUCACACCAUGGGAGUGGGUUGCAAAAGAAGUGGGUAGCUUAACAUUGGGCGCUCACCACUUUGUGAUUCAUGACUGGGGUGAAGUCGUAACAAGGUA